CUCUAUUUAAGGAAAUGAACGUUUAGGAGGAGAGGAGGAGGAGAAGUUCUGGGAACUGCUGGAAACACUCAGUUCUUCAGAAAUCAACAAAAACACACACAUCUGUUUUCUAUCCUGCAGAGAUCCAGAGCUGAGAGGAUUCUUGUUUUGUCAUUAAGCUGCAGAAAGUUCCUCUUUGUGCUGCUUUAAGCCCUCUGACUUAACCUACAUAACAUUUACCGCCUGUAACCAUGGCAACGACACACAUUCACACUGACGCCACAGCAGAGAGAAGACAACAGCAUCUCCCCAAAGAUAUAGAAUAUAUGAAUAAUAUUAAUAUUAAUAAGUAGAAAGAACCAUUAACACUCCUGUUGUCUCAUGUUAGACCAGAACUGUCCAAAGAAACAUAAAAAAUGUUUUAUAUUUAGCAAAAAAACAUUAAAACAGUUUAAUAUUUAGCAAAAAAAAUCAUAGAAACUGUUUUAUAUUUAGCAAAUAAAACCCAAAAAAAGAGUUUAAUAUUUAGCAAAAAAACAACAUAAAGACUUAAAUAUAGCAUAAAGUCCAGAAAACACGAAAACAAAACGCUCCCUGAAGGUUUUCUGAACGUCUCUGUUUUCUCUUUCCACUAAAGGUUUCCUGAUGAUAACUUUUGUGUAGUUUGUUGUAAACACAGUCCAUACAUCACAAACCUUCAGAGAACCUUCAGGGAACGUUCUCUGAACACUAGUUUUAUUCUAGGAAACAGAAACAGGAAGUGAAAGCUGCUGAUUAAGUGCACAUAUUUAACCCUCAGAUCAUCAGAAUGACCGUUUUAUUACAUCCAUAGAAUGAAAAGUUUUUAACAUUUUAUAUUCCAGAUAGUUCUUGAAAUACCUGUUUCUGCUCCAUUCCAUUGAAAAAGUGUUAAAAAUUGUCAAUAAAACAGAAAUUUUCAUUCUUCUGUUACUGUUCUGUUUAAUUUUCUUCUUUUUCAAUCAUCAAAAUCUGUUUUAAAGUGAAAAAUCAACAGAUUUCAAACACAAAAAUAGAAAACCAACAAGAAUCGAAGUGAUUAUUCUGAAGCUAAAUGACUAAAAUGAUUGUUGUUCGGGUUAUUUUAGACCCACUGAUGGAGGAAUCUGAUGACUGGAGGAUCUCAGAGUUACAAAUCUAAAGUUAACCAACUGCAUUUUUAUGUUCUCUGCUAAAUAUCAAACUCUUUUCUGUUUGUUGCUCCAUGGGUGCUUCUGAACAGAUGUUCUGGUCUAAUAUGAGACAACAUGAGUGUUUUUGUGUUAUUACUUCAUUUGUAUUUUUGUAUUUUUAGGCCCACUAUGAGGAAACCUGCCUCCAGUUUGUGUCAAAUAAAGAACAUGUAGGAUUCAGAGGAAGGAGAGUUUUUCCUCAGGAUAUAAAGUCAGGAAUAAAUCCAAUAAUAACAGCAGCUCUGAGGACCAACAUCUGCUCCAAAAUGACCCAAACAAGAAUCAUUUUAGUCAUUUAGCUUCAGAAUAAUCACUUCUAUUAUUGUUUCUUAUAUAUUUUUGUGUUUGAAAUCUGUUUAUUUUUCACUUUAUAACAGAUUUUGAUGAAAAAGAAGAAUAUUAAACAGAACAGCAGCAGGAGAAUGAAAACCUCCGUGUUUUUGAUAUUUUUCACUCUUUUCCUCCAAGCUUGCAUCACAUGUGAUGGAAUCAGAGAUAAAGAGCUUUGGAACAGAAAUAUGACCGUUUAUCUAAAAGUUUAAACAGGAACUUAAACAUUUAAAAGGAAUGAUGUCAGGAACAUGUUUUUGGAGGAAAAGCUGGAAAAUGAACCGAUAAAAAAUGUUCAUUGUAAAGAUAAUAAAAGGUCACAGUGAUGAUCUGAGGGUUAAACGUCUUCAUGGAGCAGAUGUUGGUUAUUAUUGGAUUUAUUCCUGACUUUACAUCCUGAAUAAAAACUCUCCUUCCUCUGAAUCCUACAUGUUCCUUAUUUUACACUUCUUGUUUUUAUUAGUUUCCCCGCAGGGAUCAAUAUCGUCUGAGGAUAUCUGAUCUUAGAAUCUGAUCUGAGAACAGCUCAGAGCCCAGAUAGCAGCAGUGAUGUUAUCAGACGUCUGCUCCAGGUUUCAUCCAAUCACUUUGGUUUAAAUGCAGGGAAAGACUUUCAGAGAUGCAUUCCAGUCUGUGGAAGCAGAGAAUGAAAGUUUUUAUUGCAGGUUCUGUUUGCAGCCGUGACAAAGAGCCAGAAAAGUGGUUUCCAGAGGUUAGAGGACGAUUCGGGGACGUUGGAGAUGAGUCAACAAGCAUCGGUCCAUGACGAGCAGCGCUAACAGAGGGAGGGCACGCUCAUCUGCUCACAAACACAACGGAAUCUGCAUAACUGAGGCUCCCUCUGCUGUUAACAGCUGUGAUAAAACCUGACAGACGUUUCCAUCCUCCUCCGUCACUCACAGCAGAGCUCUUCUGUCCUAAAGUACCUCAGAAAAUCUACGUUUCCAUUCAUGAAAGCUUAAAUUACAACGGCUCCAUUUAGAGUUGGACCAGCAGGAGGAGGGAGGAUGACAUUUAGCUGAUUAUCAGCUCAGAAAACCUCAACGUUCUCAGAUGUCUGGAUGCUUCAUCAACCAGGAACCAGCUGAAGGAGAUCAGAGCCGGAGGCCUCAACGUUCUCAACGUUCCAUCAACACUCAGAAUGACGAGAGAAUGAAGCAGAAAAUGCAGAAUACUUUUGUCAGGUCCACAUGAAGGUUCAGAACAAGACGGUAGCUAGAGUCAACAGGAACCUUCAGGGAGUUUGUUGAACAUAAAGUCCAGAAAACACAAUACCACAGCGUUUCCUGAAGGUUCUCUGAAGGGUUCUGUUUUCUGGACUGUCCUCUUGUAAAUUUCUACAAAGGUAACCUUCAGGGAACGUUUCCUGAAGUUUUCCUGAUGGUUGCUUUUCUGUAGUUUGCUGUAAACAGAGUUCACACAACGGAAGCCUUCAGAGAACCUUCAGGGAACCUUCAGGGAACGGUCCCUGAAAACGUAGUUUUAGUCGAGUUUUACAUGAAAUAAAGAGUUUUUCUCUAAAGAUGUCGUUGAUUUUAAACACAGUCCAGAAAACAGGAAACAUUUUUGGAACAUUUAACGAAAGUUUUCUUCAGUUAGAUUUAGGGUUCUUGAUGGCAACACCUUUGACCAAUCACACUUGAAGCACUUUUUUCACUUACUACAGGUUUUUCCUGAUGUCUGAAUUCUUGCUUGUGUUGUACGUCGCUUUGGACAAAAGCUUCUGCUAAAUGAAACUGUAGAAUUGUAAAUGAAAUUGGAGGGUUCUAUAAUAUAAUAUAAUAUAAUAUAAUAUAAUAAAAGGGCUGCACAGAGGCGUAGUGGUUAGCACUGUCGCCUUGCAGCAAGAAGAUCCCCGGUUCAAAUCCCGGCCUGGGAUCUUUCUGCAUGGAGUUUGCAUGUUCUCCCUGAGCAUGCGUGGGUUUUCUCCGGGUGCUCCGGCUUCCUCCCACAGUCCAAAAACAUGCUGAGGUUAAUUGGUUACUCUAAAUUGUCCGUAGGUGUGAAUGUGAGUGUGAUUGUGUGUCUGUAUAUGUAGCCCUGUGACAGACUGGUGACCUGUCCAGGGUGUCCCCUGCCUUCACCAGAGUCAGCUGGGAUAGACUCCAGCACCCCCCAUGACCCUGGUGAGGAUAAAGCGGUGUAUGGAUGGAUGGAUGGAUGGAUGGAUGGAUGGAUGGAUGGAUAAUAUAAUAUAAUAAUAGAUGUACUUUAUUUAUCCCAGAGGAAAUUAUUGAGGGUUAGGGGUAUUAACAGGGGUAAAAAGGGUUAGAGGUAUUAACAGGGGUAAUAAUGGGUUUUAAGGACUUUAUGUUGUUGUCUUUAAACUCUGAUCCAAUAAAACUGGAUGUUCUUGUGUUUCAGUGAUGAUGGAGAUAACUGGUGUAUAUGUAUACUUACAUUUAUCUCUCUCUAUAUAAUAUAGAACAGUAAAUAUAUAUACUUAUUUGUAUCUAUAUACAUAUGUGUGUGUGUGUGUGUGUGUGUGUGUGUGUGUGUGUGUGUGUGAUAUAGAUAAAUAGCUGUUGCCUUUAACCUCUGAUGUAAACCAGUGAAACUUCAUUUUCUGCCUGUUCAGUCGUCUUUUCUUCAGGUGUUGUAGCUCCAGUCGGGGUUUCUGCUCUAAUCUGACAGCAGUAAUGACUGAAGGCUGCUCUUCCUGAAGGACUCGUUCCUCCGUCUGGUGGUCUGGUUGCCUCUUCUGAUACUGGAUGACCAUCCAUCACAGCAGAACACCCACAACACUUCUAUAAACAGAAACGAAUAAUCAGUGUUUCCUGUGGACAGAUCCUCUCCGGUCCGUGAAGUGAAACUAAAACUCUUCUUAUCUUCAGCUCCUGCUGGACAUCAGGUCACACUGUAGAGGCUCUUCCUGCUCCGAUGCUUCUGAAAAUUAAGCCCAAAAAGAUCCCGGUGGGGAAAGAGCAAAAUUAAAACUACUAGACAUCGUCAUGCUCUGAACAGAAAUUAAUUACCUUCCACUGAGGUUCCACCAGAAGAGAACAGAGUGAGUGACGGUGUGAAGGUUCAGACGCUUUCAUCAACUUUCCAACCCUGUUGUCGACAUUUCAAGUUUCCUCUCUGAAGAAUCACAGCUGGAAGAAAAUCAAACAUCUGUCGGGAAAUUAUACAUCUGUGAUGGUUAGUAGUCAGAAGACAGGAAACCUUUAGAAAACCAUCAGGAAACAUUCUCUGAAGGUUAGUUUUUGUAGAAUUUGACCAUAAAGUCCCAGAUUGUUGAAAAUAGAGUCUAGAAAACAUGAAGCCUUUAGAGAACCUUCAUUAAAGCAUUCCCUGAAGGUUAGAUGUUGUAGAAUUUUAUUAAGUCAAAGUUUGUUGUAAGCACAUUUCGGUAGACAGGAAACCUUCAGCAAAUGUUUCCCGAAGGUUAGUUUUACUAGACUUUUACAAGAAAAUCAUGUUUGUUGAAAAUAAAGACGACAACACAGCA